rnacentral:rRNA from 1 species
UACGUAGGGGGCGAGCGUUGUCCGGAAUUAUUGGGCGUAAAGAGCUCGUAGGCGGCUUGGCAAGUCGGAUGUGAAAACUCCAGGCUCAACCUGGAGCCGCCAUUCGAUACUGCUAUGGCUAGAGUCCGGUAGGGGAGUGUGGAAUUCCCGGUGUAGCGGUGAAAUGCGUAGAUAUCGGAAGGAACACCAGUGGCGAAAGCGGCUUCCUGGUCCAGCACCGACGUUCAGGCACGAAAGCGUGGGGAGCAAACAGG